ACGCUGGCGGCAGGCCUAACACAUGCAAGUCGAGCGGUAGAGAGAAGCUUGCUUCUCUUGAGAGCGGCGGACGGGUGAGUAAUGCCUAGGAAUCUGCCUGGUAGUGGGGGAUAACGUUCGGAAACGGACGCUAAUACCGCAUACGUCCUACGGGAGAAAGCAGGGGACCUUCGGGCCUUGCGCUAUCAGAUGAGCCUAGGUCGGAUUAGCUAGUUGGUGAGGUAAUGGCUCACCAAGGCGACGAUCCGUAACUGGUCUGAGAGGAUGAUCAGUCACACUGGAACUGAGACACGGUCCAGACUCCUACGGGAGGCAGCAGUGGGGAAUAUUGGACAAUGGGCGAAAGCCUGAUCCAGCCAUGCCGCGUGUGUGAAGAAGGUCUUCGGAUUGUAAAGCACUUUAAGUUGGGAGGAAGGGCAGUUACCUAAUACGUGAUUGUUUUGACGUUACCGACAGAAUAAGCACCGGCUAACUCUGUGCCAGCAGCCGCGGUAAUACAGAGGGUGCAAGCGUUAAUCGGAAUUACUGGGCGUAAAGCGCGCGUAGGUGGUUUGUUAAGUUGGAUGUGAAAUCCCCGGGCUCAACCUGGGAACUGCAUUCAAAACUGACUGACUAGAGUAUGGUAGAGGGUGGUGGAAUUUCCUGUGUAGCGGUGAAAUGCGUAGAUAUAGGAAGGAACACCAGUGGCGAAGGCGACCACCUGGACUGAUACUGACACUGAGGUGCGAGAGCGUGGGGAGCAAAC
rnacentral:rRNA from 1 species